UACGGAGGAUCCAAGCGUUAUCCGGAAUUACUGGGCGUAAAGAGUUGCGUAGGUGGCAUAGUAAGUCGGUAGUGAAAGCGUGGGGCUCAACCCCAUAUACAUUAUCGAAACUGCUAAGCUAGAGGAUGAGAGAGGUUAUUGGAAUUCCCUGUGUAGGAGUGAAAUCCGUAGAUAUAGGGAGGAACACCGAUGGCGUAGGCAGAUAACUGGCUCAUUCCUGACACUAAGGCACGAAAGCGUGGGGAGCAAACGGG
rnacentral:rRNA from 1 species